rnacentral:rRNA from 1 species
UACGUAGGGUGCGAGCGUUAAUCGGAAUUACUGGGCCUAAAGCGUGCGCAGGCGGUUUUGUAAGCCAGAUGUGAAAGCCCCGGGCUCAACCUGGGAAUGGCAUUUGGGACUGCAAGGCUGGAGUUUGGCAGAGGAGACUGGAAUUCCUGGUGUAGCAGUGAAAUGCGUAGAUAUCAGGAGGAACACCGAUGGCGAAGGCAGGUCUCUGGGCUGAAACUGACGCUCAAGCACGAAAGCGUGGGGAGCAAACAGG